GAUGAACGCUGGCGGCGUGCCUAAUACAUGCAGGUCGAGCGAAUGGAUUAAGAGCUUGCUCUUAUGAAGUUAGCGGCGGACGGGUGAGUAACACGUGGGUAACCUGCCCAUAAGACUGGGAUAACUCCGGGAAACCGGGGCUAAUACCGGAUCACAUUUUGAACCGCAUGGUUCGAAAUUGAAAGGCGGCUUCGGCUGUCACUUAUGGAUGGACCCGCGUCGCAUUAGCUAGUUGGUGAGGUAACGGCUCACCAAGGCAACGAUGCGUAGCCGACCUGAGAGGGUGAUCGGCCACACUGGGACUGAGACACGGCCCAGACUCCUACGGGAGGCAGCAGUAGGGAAUCUUCCGCAAUGGACGAAAGUCUGACGGAGCAACGCCGCGUGAGUGAUGAAGGCUUUCGGGUCGUAAAACUCUGUUGUUAGGGAAGAACAAGUGCUAGUUGAAUAAGCUGACACCUUGACGGUACCUAACCAGAAAGCCACGGCUAACUACGUGCCAGCCGCCGCGGUAA
rnacentral:rRNA from 1 species